UCUAAGUUCAGAAGCUGCUAGUGUUAAGUGAGUGUGAGAGUGUAAACACUUGGUUUGGGGAAAAACUAUAAGCUUAAACAUCAUAAGCUUAUCAAACACUUUGGGAAGUGAGUUCUAUAGUAUUUCGGUGGAGGUUAGAUUGAUCUUGCAAUCUUUGAGGGAAUCCAAGCUCUUAAGCAUAUAAGUCGGAGUGUUCCAAAAGUCCCAACUCAGUCCAUAAUCCCGGUAACUUUGGAAAAUAAGCUUAGAGGCGGUAAGAUUCGUGGCGCUUGGAGGAUGUGUAUCGAUGAUGAAUGGAGUCAAGGGGCCGAGCGUUAAUCGAUUCGAGGAUGUAGUUUCGGUUUCAUGUCUUUUUAUAUGUAUUUUCCGCACUAAUUAUGUAAUGUUUUAUUAUUUUAAAUUAUGUUUUUGUUUUAAAGACAAUGGGAUCCCAUAUCCGUUUUGGUAUUUACUUUGUAAAUAACUCUUAUUUUGCAAGUUAUUCAAUAAAUUAUGGU